UACGUAGGCUUGAAGACGCCCCUCCACAAGCUUCUUCAAACUCCUCUCUUUUCUCUAGAAACUCCUUUCUCUCUUUUUCCCAAAAAAAAAAAAAAAAAAAAAAACUGGACCCGACUUCCUAUUUACCCAAACCCGAAAAAAGCAUGGUACUCAACACCGCAAUCAAACCCACCGCCACCACCAUCAAAUUCCUCUGUAGCUACGGCGGAAAAAUCCUCCCCCGUUAUCCCGACGGUAAACUCCGUUACCUCGGCGGCGAAACCCGUGUCCUCGCCGUUGACCGCUCCAUUUCCUUUUCCGAGCUAUUGUUGAAGCUCGGAGAGUUGUGUGGUACACCUGUGAGCCUUCGUUGCCAGUUGCCGUCGGAGGAUCUAGACGCUCUGGUAUCGAUCACCUCCGAUGAGGACCUCGCGAAUCUCAUCGAGGAGUACGACAAAGCCGCGUCGCCGCCUUCGUCUCUGAAGAUAAGAGCGUUUCUCUCGCCGCCGAAACCUCCCAGAAAAUCAAUCUCUUCUCCUCCUCUUCCUCCUCCAAUCCCUAAAUCCUCGACGUCUUCAUCGAAAUCGUCGUCGUCGUCGUCGUCGUGUUCCACUUCGUCCCCGUCUCACAGUCCCACCGGCACCAACCCGAGGUUUUCGGCGCCGGUGGCCGACGUGUGCCUCCGCCAGAUCUCGCCGCCGGUCGUUCCGUUUCAGAGAUCCGCGGCGAAGAUCAAGCCUCACUGUGCUUACCGUGCUCAUGGAAACCCUAGCAACAUCUACCUCAUCCACAACGGGAAUCACUGGCAAUAGCACCAAAUCAGAUGGACUAAAAUCCAACAAAUCCAAAAAAAAAAAACGUUAACGAAGAGAGUGGAAUGAAACAAGUGGGAGGAUGAUUAAGAUUUGGCAGUAAAAUCACGUGAUUUCAACUUCUAGAUGAUGGAUGUGUGUGCUAGAUGGGCCAUGACUAAACUGGUGACGAUGUAUGGUGUGUACAUUUUGACCAGAUUCCACCAACUGACGCUGCGAAGGCACUGGAGCAAAAUAGUUCUUUUCACAUUUAAAAAAAAUAUAUAUAUAUAUAAUUCCAAUAGCGACGGAGAUAAAGAUGGAAGUAUUGGAGUUGGCCCGGUUGGGAGAUGGGACCAUUUGGGAAUCAUCUAGGCCCUCUAUAUCCCAAUUUAUUGAACAAAGUGAUUGAGCCAUAAAAAUUAAAAUAAAUUGCUAAAUAAAAUUAUAAAGUAAGAGCACUCUAAAAAUAAAAAAAUAAAAAAAUAAAUAAAUAGUCGGAUCGGAAUGAGACCUAUUUCGUUUUGAGAGAAGGGAUUUUUUGGCGGAAAGAAUCAAAGAUAGGCUCUCCACUCAUGUAGCCUUCAGAAGGUAGAUUCCCAUUGUUGUUUCAACUUUGGAGAGAUUAUAUGAGAUCUUAUUACCCCCAAUUAAUCAAAAGAGCCAAACAAGAUUUAAAGUGAGUUUAAUCAUUGUUAUCUUCUGAGACAAAGGAAAAAGUGGUUUAAGAUUUAUCCUGUCCCACCUUAUGUAAUUUCUAUUAGUUCUUUGAUAAUAUAAAUUAAUAAUGCCACCAAAAUCAUGAUCCUUAGGUGUCUUCUUUGAUCCUUUUAAACAAAAAGAAUUCAUUUCUUUUCACAAAGGGUUAACCUGUGAGAGAGAGAUAGAGAGAGGCAGGCUGUAAUGAAAUCCUGUAUGGAAAGGUUGGCAAUGCCAUGGAUCCCACGAUGACUACCAAUGUCUAAUCGGCGUUCAAGAUUAUAUGUAAUGUGAGGUCGCUGUUAUGUGAGCGGGCAAGAACUAUAUAGGCUAGUAAUGGGUCACACAGCGUGUGAGUGCUACUGAAAGCAACUACAGGAUGUUUAAGAUAAGAGAGAGAUUGGGACCAUUGGACUAGUAGUACACAUGGUUGGAACGAACGAAAUGUGUAUUAAAAUAUAUAUAUUGGGAAUAUUCAGUGCAAAAGCCACAGCCUUCAUUGUUUUGGAAGGAUGUGGUGUGAUAGCA